rnacentral:rRNA from 1 species
GUCUUUUUGAUGAUAAUUUAAAGUCUAGCCUGCCCGAUGAUAAUUGAAUGGCCGCGGUAUUUUGACCGUGCUAAGGUAGCAUAAUCAAUAGUUUUUUAAUUGAAAGCUUGAAUGAAGGGUUGGAUAAAAAAAUAACUGUCUUUAUUUAAUUUAAUUAGAAUUUUAUAUUUAAGUUAAAAAGCUUAAAUAUUGUUAAAAGACGAGAAGACCCUAUAGAGUUUAAUAAAUUAUUAAAUUAAUAUAUUUAGAAUUUAUUUUAUUAAUUGAAUUAUUUAUUUAAUUGGGGUGAUUAAAAAAUUAAAUAAACUUUUUUUGUAUUUUUCCAUUUAUAAAUGAAUUUUUGAUCCAUAAAUAAUGAUUAUAAGAUAAAAUUACCUUAGGGAUAACAGCGUUAUUUUUUUUUAGAGUUCAAAUCGAAAAAAAAGAUUGCGACCUCGAUGUUGGAUUAAAAUUAAUUUUUGGUGUAGAAGCUAAAAUAUUGGGUCUGUUCGACCUUUAAAAUUUUACAUGAUCUGAGUUUAAACCGGUUUAAGCCAGGUUGGUUUCUAUCUUUAAUAAAUAAAAAUGCUUUAGUACGAAAGGAUUAAGUAUUUAAUUAAUAAUUUU